UUUGGUUAAGUUAGAAAGGGCGCACGGUGGAUGCCUUGACACUAGGAGUCGAUGAAGGACGGGACUAACGCCGAUAUGCUUCGGGGAGCUGUAAGUAAGCUUUGAUCCGAAGAUUUCCGAAUGGGGAAACCCACCAUACGUAAUGGUAUGGUAUCCUUAUCUGAAUACAUAGGGUAAGGAAGACAGACCCAGGGAACUGAAACAUCUAAGUACCUGGAGGAAGAGAAAGCAAAUGCGAUUUCCUGAGUAGCGGCGAGCGAAACGGAACAUAGCCCAAACCAAGAGGCUUGCCUCUUGGGGUUGUAGGACAUUCUAUACGGAGUUACAAAGGAACGAGGUAGACGAAGCGACCUGGAAAGGUCCGUCGUAGAGGGUAACAACCCCGUAGUCGAAACUUCGUUCUCUCUUGAAUGUAUCCUGAGUACGGCGGAACACGUGAAAUUCCGUCGGAAUCUGGGAGGACCAUCUCCCAAGGCUAAAUACUCCCUAGUGAUCGAUAGUGAACCAGUACCGUGAGGGAAAGGUGAAAAGCACCCCGGAAGGGGAGUGAAAGAGAUCCUGAAACCGUGUGCCUACAAAUAGUCAGAGCCCGUUAAUGGGUGAUGGCGUGCCUUUUGUAGAAUGAACCGGCGAGUUACGAUCCCGUGCGAGGUUAAGCUGAAGAGGCGGAGCCGCAGCGAAAGCGAGUCUGAAUAGGGCGUUUAGUACGUGGUCGUAGACCCGAAACCAGGUGAUCUACCCAUGUCCAGGGUGAAGUUCAGGUAACACUGAAUGGAGGCCCGAACCCACGCACGUUGAAAAGUGCGGGGAUGAGGUGUGGGUAGCGGAGAAAUUCCAAUCGAACCUGGAGAUAGCUGGUUCUCCCCGAAAUAGCUUUAGGGCUAGCCUUAAGUGUAAGAGUCUUGGAGGUAGAGCACUGAUUGGACUAGGGGUCCUCAUCGGAUUACCGAAUUCAGUCAAACUCCGAAUGCCAAUGACUUAUCCUUAGGAGUCAGACUGCGAGUGAUAAGAUCCGUAGUCAAAAGGGAAACAGCCCAGACCGCCAGCUAAGGUCCCAAAGUGUGUAUUAAGUGGAAAAGGAUGUGGAGUUGCUUAGACAACUAGGAUGUUGGCUUAGAAGCAGCCACCAUUUAAAGAGUGCGUAAUAGCUCACUAGUCGAGUGACUCUGCGCCGAAAAUGUACCGGGGCUAAAUACACCACCGAAGCUGCGGAUUGAUACCAAUGGUAUCAGUGGUAGGGGAGCGUUCUAAGGACAGUGAAGUCAGACCGUAAGGACUGGUGGAGUGCUUAGAAGUGAGAAUGCCGGUAUGAGUAGCGAAAGACGGGUGAGAAUCCCGUCCACCGAAUGCCUAAGGUUUCCUGAGGAAGGCUCGUCCGCUCAGGGUUAGUCAGGACCUAAGCCGAGGCCGACAGGCGUAGGCGAUGGACAACAGGUUGAUAUUCCUGUACCACCUCUUUAUCGUUUGAGCAAUGGAGGGACGCAGAAGGAUAGAAGAAGCGUGCGAUUGGUUGUGCACGUCCAAGCAGUUAGGCUGAUAAGUAGGCAAAUCCGCUUAUCGUAAAGGCUGAGCUGUGAUGGGGAAGCUCCUUAUGGAGCGAAGUCUUUGAUUCCCCGCUGCCAAGAAAAGCUUCUAGCGAGAUAAAAGGUGCCUGUACCGCAAACCGACACAGGUAGGCGAGGAGAGAAUCCUAAGGUGUGCGAGAGAACUCUGGUUAAGGAACUCGGCAAAAUGACCCCGUAACUUCGGGAGAAGGGGUGCUUUCUUAACGGAAAGCCGCAGUGAAUAGGCCCAAGCGACUGUUUAGCAAAAACACAGCUCUCUGCGAAGCCGUAAGGCGAAGUAUAGGGGGUGACACCUGCCCGGUGCUGGAAGGUUAAGGAGAGGGGUUAGCGUAAGCGAAGCUCUGAACUGAAGCCCCAGUAAACGGCGGCCGUAACUAUAACGGUCCUAAGGUAGCGAAAUUCCUUGUCGGGUAAGUUCCGACCCGCACGAAAGGUGUAACGAUUUGGGCACUGUCUCAACCAGAGACUCGGUGAAAUUAUAGUACCUGUGAAGAUGCAGGUUACCCGCGACAGGACGGAAAGACCCCGUGGAGCUUUACUGUAGCCUGAUAUUGAAUUUUGGUACAUUUUGUACAGGAUAGGCGGGAGCCUUUGAAACCGGAGCGCUAGCUUCGGUGGAGGCGCUGGUGGGAUACCGCCCUGAAUGUAUUGAAAUUCUAACCUACGGGUCUUAUCGACCCGGGAGACAGUGUCAGGUGGGCAGUUUGACUGGGGCGGUCGCCUCCUAAAGUGUAACGGAGGCGCCCAAAGGUUCCCUCAGAAUGGUUGGAAAUCAUUCGUAGAGUGCAAAGGCAUAAGGGAGCUUGACUGCGAGACCUACAAGUCGAGCAGGGACGAAAGUCGGGCUUAGUGAUCCGGUGGUUCCGCAUGGAAGGGCCAUCGCUCAACGGAUAAAAGCUACCCCGGGGAUAACAGGCUUAUCUCCCCAAGAGUCCACAUCGACGGGGAGGUUUGGCACCUCGAUGUCGGCUCAUCGCAUCCUGGGGCUGUAGUCGGUCCCAAGGGUUGGGCUGUUCGCCCAUUAAAGCGGUACGCGAGCUGGGUUCAGAACGUCGUGAGACAGUUCGGUCCCUAUCCGUCGUGGGCGUAGGAAAUUUGAGAGGAGCUGUCCUUAGUACGAGAGGACCGGGAUGGACGCACCGCUGGUGUACCAGUUGUUCUGCCAAGGGCAUAGCUGGGUAGCUAUGUGCGGAAGGGAUAAGUGCUGAAAGCAUCUAAGCAUGAAGCCCCCCUCAAGAUGAGAUUUCCCAUAGCGUAAGCUAGUAAGAUCCCUGAAAGAUGAUCAGGUUGAUAGGUUCGAGGUGGAAGCAUGGUGACAUGUGGAGCUGACGAAUACUAAUAGAUCGAGGACUUAACCAUAUAA
rnacentral:rRNA from 1 species